UGUCGCGUGGGAAGCAGGAAGGUUGCAACAGCUCAAGGAAAAUCAUUUAAUGGCACUGAAAAACCAUUCCUUGAAGUCAGGAAUGCACGGCAAUGCCCCCCCCCUCCACCGACCCCACCAAAAAACCCUAGUAACAUGUGGGCGAGAAUCCUGGAAACUAAGCAUCGCAAUUCCAUCCUUGCAUCAGACUACGGUAAACUGACACCAUAAUGUGCGGCAGUCUGUUCUCCAGCACUUCCAGAUGACACGAGAGGACUGGAAAGGGUCCAACAGAGGGGAAUUAAAGUGACAAGCAGGAAGAGUGUUCUUUACAUGCUGACAAGCAAAAAACAAACUCUGGCUUUCAGAGAAAGACGAGAGCUCAGACGCGAUAUGGCGGGGGUGUGUGUGCACCGUGGGAGCACAGUCGCCGUCCCCAGAUCGUGGACCAGUGCGAGGCAGCCCUCGGAGGCUGAGAGAGGCUGAUUCGGAAGAAACGAAGAAGGGUCUGCUCGGUGGGCAGUGAUGUGGACAUGCUUCCCCCCAGAGGCUGCUUCACUGGUCCUCAGUCUCGUCCCAAAUCGUGGAAGGAAGACUCCCCGUCAGAACCUUCAGAUGGGGAGGUUCUGGACGGGGACGGGAUGGCCAGAAAGAGCAGCAAUGCUGGGACAAGGGUGUUCCUAUUCUCUGUGACAGCUUGUGGAUUUGGAGAGUCUGUGGCAAGUUGCAAGGAAAACCUUUAUGAAUGAAACUUUCUAAGACUUACAUCAGGGACGGCAGCAACAAAACUGUUCCUCAGUGUCAUACUGGAGAUUCCACUAAACUGAUGCACAGGGUAACUUCUGUGUGAUCACAGGAGUAGUUGCCAUAUUUCCACACCGCGGGCAGCUCAGGAGGCCAGGGGCUGAAGGAGACCCCCACAAGAUCCACAAGAAUUACCCCAAUAGGCAACCCAGGGGCCACAGUACCAAGGAAAGAUAUCUCCUAGGUGCUGCUAGUUUAAGGUGCAUAAGGCUGAGGAUUUAUGUGGUAUUUUCAGAUACCUCAAAAGAUCAACAAAUUCUGUGUUGACUAAACUUUCCAAACUGGCAAGAUUAGUCCUUCCAACUGUUCCCAGUCACGCUGCAUACCAAUCACCCAGUGCACUUUUGAAAAUGCAGCUAGCUCCGGGAUCCACCCGAGAUGGACUGAAGUUUUCAAAGUGCUCCCAGGUGAUAUAAUGUGUGGCGGAAGUGGAGAGCCACUGAGCGUCUCCAUUUGUUCAAGUUAAUUAUUCGGGAGCUUCUGGCUGCAGGGCGAGCGCAAAGGGCAUGGACGAACAGGCCAGGGUGGAAGAGAGAAGUCGAUUCUGCCACGUGUGCUGUGACACUGGCCAGGCUGUUCCUGCAAGGCUGGUGGGGGUGGGGAGCCGAGCCGCUUGCAUUCCUGAAUGUUACCAGACAGACUUGGACGUCGGAAAUGUAACUCUGCAGGGUGCCUGGUAUCCUGCGAGGAAGGGAAGAGAAGAGAGGCAAAUCAUGAGUUACCCACGGAACCAGGUUUAGUGUCCGAUCAAACAGUGCAGUCGCUAUAUCUCACCCUUGAGUGAGAUAUACCAGGCUUCGAAUGAUCGGGAGGAAGGCCAAGGUCAAAGCUGAAAUGCUGAAGAUGGACAAGUGGGAAAACCAGGGAGAAGGUCUCACAGACGACCCUGCCGUUCCCUCUGGCUUCCCCAGCCGAACCCUGCUCUGCAAGCCGAUAGGAGAGACAGACCCAGAAGGAGAAGG